rnacentral:rRNA from 1 species
CAGUCGCCACGGUAAUACGAAGGGGGCUAGCGUUGUUCGGAAUCACUGGGCGUAAAGCGCACGUAGGCGGAUUUUUAAGUCAGGGGUGAAAUCCCGAGGCUCAACCUCGGAACUGCCUUUGAUACUGGAGAUCUUGAGUUCGGAAGAGGUUGGUGGAACAGCUAGUGUAGAGGUGAAAUUCGUAGAUAUUAGCUAGAACACCAGUGGCGAAGGCGGCCAACUGGUCCGACACUGACGCUGAGGUGCGAAAGCGUGGGGAGCAAACAGGAUUAGAUACCCCGGUAGUCCCUGUCUCUUAUAC